rnacentral:misc_RNA from 1 species
GGAGAAAUUCGAAAGGGAAAUCAGGGAAUCUAAAUUUUCAGAGCUGAUGAACAAACACUUUGCUGCAAGUUCCAUUCCCAAAGGCAUCCACUGUCUCUCUCUACGUUUGACCGAUGAAUAUUCCUCCAAUGCUCAUGCGCGCAAACAGUUGCCAUCUCCAGAGUUGCUUCCUUUGCUUUCUGACAAUUCUUACCAUCACUUUGUUCUAUCCACUGAUAACAUUUUAGCUGCUUCAGUUGUUGUCACUUCUACUGUCCAGUCAUCUCUAAAACCUGAAAAGAUAGUCUUUCAUGUCAUUACUGACAAGAAAACUUAUGCGGGUAUGCAUUCAUGGUUUGCACUAAAUUCAGUCUCCCCUGCUAUUGUUGAAGUGAAAGGUGUUCACCAGUUUGACUGGUUAACAAGGGAGAAUGUUCCGGUGCUUGAAGCUGUAGAGAACUCUAACGGUAUCAGGAAUUACUACCAUGGGAAUCACAUUGCAGGGGCCAAUCUCAGUACUACAACUCCACGAAUGUUUGCUUCAAAAUUGCAGGCUAGAAGUCCGAAGUACAUAUCCUUGCUCAACCAUCUCCGCAUAUAUUUACCUGAGCUCUUUCCAAACCUUGACAAGGUGGUCUUCUUAGAUGAUGAU